GUUGUUGAUCUGCAACUAAUGAUUGUUUUCUCAGUUACUCGAUUAGUUUAGUCGCUGAGAAACUAUUGAUGAUAAUUGAUUGAAUAAUGAUGUUACAGUAAAUGUCUUGUGUUGUCCACAAACCAUCUUUGUUAUGUAAUCCAGAACAUAUUUAAGUUUAGGAAGCUGAAAAACUAGAGAACUUGUUGUAAUGAUUAACAAAAUUGGAAAUCAAAAUAGCUGGCGAUUCAUUUAGCAAUUGACUGAUAAUAGUUGCAGCCCUAGUGUGUUGAAUAAUUAUUUGGUGUUUGUAUUUGCAAUGAAACAUCACAUUAUUUUAUUCACACGACUACGUUGUCUCUCCCUCUUUAAACACAAUCAGCUGCUAACCCAAAGAAGCACCUCUUAACCAGAGGUGAAGCUGUGCCAAGUGCAAAGAGGAAGAAACUGGAUGCUCCUGUACCAUCCAGUGGUGCUGCCACAUCUGCCUAUGAUGCUGUAAACAGAGCCAGGAACCUCAAACAGCCUGUGCAGUCACAGAGAACUGUGCCAGCAAGAACCCAAAGUGACGUCAGUGCUGUGGGAACCUCACAAUCCUGCAGUGCUAGUGGCAGCGCUGCAGCUGUGAAACCGUCUGCUCACAGCCACAGAGCUCGUCUCGCUAAACCCACGGCCACGGUUGUGCUAAAUGUGUUGCACUGGGAGAGCAACUAAAAAUAAAGGAGGAGGAAAUCCGGAGACUGAAAGAAGGUUGUGCCGCUCUGGAAGAGGGAGUAAAGAUAAAGUCUGAGGAAAUACAGAGAUUGAAAAAAGAUCAGAGAGGACGUAAGUCAUGACUCUGAGCUCUACUCACUCUGCUGCUGUUUGAAUCAUUAACUAAAUAAUAAAACCAGGUUAUGAACAAGACUUUUUCAUCAUUACAUUUAAAACUAAUUGAAGCUUGACUUAAGUCUUUGUUGACAACUGACCAUAUUUUC